UAAUCAACAUGCAUGCAUUUCUUUUCUCCCACACUCUCGUAUGCAUGCAUGUUAAAGCGCGUGUAAUAAACAGCGCAGAGUGACGCAUUAACAGCCUCUAUAUGGCCGUUAUAAACAAUGCAGCGUGUAAAAAGAGGAAGCACAUGCUAUCUCCACUUCUCUGUCAUGCACAAAGCAUCAAAUCUACAGCCGCAUGAAUGAAACAGCAUGCAACUCCAUGCACGAUCAAAUAAGCAUGCCUCUGAGCGCCAACAGAAACGAAACGCAUGCAAUUUAGGGCAUGCAAUUAGAUAUAAGUGUGAUGUGGCACGCAGGUAAUCCACUUUUGUCAUGGACUUGAGCUCUUUUUGUCCCCGGAUUGAACUGUCAUGGCUGCCGUACACUGUUGACUGAUCCUGACUGGACUGCUGGAGGCGGAAAAGCAGUGGGUCUGUAUAGCCAACAUGAAUGGGGUCAAUGCCAACCCUCACACUCAGGUUGAAAAGGAGGAAACGGGCAUUUGGCACAAACGCCUGCGUCUCAGGAAAACCUCCUUUUCUGAUCAAAACACUGUGAAGGAGGAGAACAAUGUUACUACAUGUGAAGAGAAAGCAACAGGGGAGUCCAAGAAACGAGCGCUGAACACUUUCACCUGCUCCACAUGCAACGACGGCAUCUCCUUUAAACCUGGAGAAUUAAUCACGCACUUUAAGGUCAUCCAUGGAGGCGAAGGAAACCCACCGAUGUUUCCAUGCAGCAUGUGUGAUUUCUCCACAUCAGUGUUUAUUACGCUUCAGAAACACCGAAUGAAACACAAGGACUGUUUGUUUACUUGUGAUAGUUGUGAAGAUGACGUUCAGCAAACAUUGCCUCAACUAAUCAAACAUAUUCAAACACAUCACUCCCUCGAUGGCCAAUUCUACUGUACCAAAUGCAAACUCUCUAUGCAGGAAAUUGAGCAGUUUGUGUGUCAUUCUUGUCCACAACCAGUCAAAAGCAAGCAUGAAGAAAGCAUCACUAAUGGUGUGAAGUUGGAGACGCCACAGAAAAACGAUCUCCUACAACACAUGGCUGCUGCGUGUCGGCGAAAAUGGAGCCGAAGAAAUUGGUGGAAAAAGCGAGAAUCUUCUUCAAAAGAAGAAAACAAUAACUUAUCCCAGGAGUUGAAGCUUCUGCAUCCUAAACCAGAACCCAAAUGGCCGUCCACUUUACUGGACACCAAUGGCAUCUUAGUGGAUCCAGAGAAGACUUUGGAAGAAACGAAGCAGUUUCUUGAAAGAACGGUUGUUAGUGGUAAGAAGUGGAGCAUGUCUCUAAAAGAUGAGCAGGACUUUGCUCCCCCACAUUUAAAUGGGAUAAACCAUUGGCGUGUUGGGAAAGAUAAGAUAUCCGGACUGAUGGAGAAAAACAAUAUAACCGUUCCCCCAGAUUGCACUACGAAAGUGGUCGGAUUCAAGAUGGUGGACGGCAAAAAGCAUUUAGUCCUCAGAGUCAUUCCUUCAGACAAGCAAGAUGAGGCGUUCAGAUCUAACACUGUGAAACCAACCAAUCAAUCUUCGGUUGAGCCAAACGACACUGUUAAAGCUUCAGGAAACUGUUCUCAGGGGACUCCGGAAAGGAUUUUAUCCCCGGGACGAUGUGCAACUCAACAUAGCAUUUCAUCGUCAGUGAUUGAGAGAUGUAAUAGCCAACAACAAGAUGUCUACGAUAACCGGGACUUCAAUAACCUCCAACAUAAUCCAGUCAGAAAGACCAAAACAACCAAUCUACGGUCCUGUGAUGAAAUAAACACUCAUGCAGAACAUCCAAAAGAGCAAGAAAAGCCUCUCAGUGGGUCAGAGCAAAACUCUAAUGAGGAUCUGAGCUCUGAUGUGGGAUCUGCGCAAGAGAAACGCGACCUGGCAUUGGAUCCAAAUGCAGAUCUGUGCUCCACUUUUGGGUUUGAUUGCAUUAGUCCAUCUUUGAAUAACCUGAGCGAGUCAUUGUGUGGUUUUCAAAGUGCAGAUGGAGGAUUGUUAUUCCACAGCGAAAGCACAAACAACUGCGACCCCAGAGAGGCUGCUGUGUUCCCGGUGGGUCAGUAUGACUGCGAGAGGGAGAAUCUGUGUGUUUCAGAGCUGAAUCAGACGGUGGAGGAGCUGCCUUUGACUACAGUCAGACACUUACUGGAUGAGUCUUCAAGUUCGGAUGAACCACAGAGAGACUCAGCAUGCACUGGAGGAACAAUCGAGCGACAUGAGCCAGAAAACACCAGCAUCAUCUUCUCUGAGGAUUCAGACUCGUCCACAACUGUUCCUGAGUCAGCCGCCGGCUCCAUUUCAUCACUAAACAGAAAGCGCAUGGGAGAAGAAUCCUCAACAGACUCCCAACAACAACCCGUCAGUAAAUCCCCAAAGCCAUCCAUUCUCCAUUGGGAACCGGCGUCUCGAGACACUCCGACAACCCUUCGACUGAUUCCCUUCAAUUCCACACAAUCCCUCAAAAUCCCUGCUGAGAACCAACCCGUUAUAGUCCUCAACCAUCCAGAUUCUGAUAUCCCCGAAGUGACGAACAUCAUGAAAGUCGUGCACAAACACAAAGCUGCGAUCCAGCGUGUGGUUUUGUCUCGUAAAACUCUCCGUGCGCUGUCGGAGUUUAAUUGCAAUGCAUUCAUUUCAACGAAUCUCCUCACCAGUUAUCACUAUAGGAGGGAAUGGCCAAAUAGCAGCGUUAAGGAGAGAUUCAGCUUGAAACUGAGACUCAAAAGAGUGCGUGGAAGAAAGUAUACCGUGGUGCCGACGCUAUCAGAAAGCGCUGUUCUGCAGCCGACGUUCACAUGCUGGUUUUGCGGGCGUGUUUUCAGGAAUCAAGAAGCUUGGGUUGGACACGGACAGAGACAUCUGACUGAAGCCACCAGAGGCUGGAAGCAGAUCUUCAACACAUAGAAGACCUGAAUCAGAGAGUUAGACGUUUAUAAAUGCAGUGAGAGCUAAAAUCAGGGUUACUAUGCUAAUCUCAGGGCGAGAAAAUGUGCAAAUGUCAGGAUCUUUAUUUUAGUGUUGCAAAAAAAGAGCUUGUUUCUAGUCCAAAUAUCAAAACAUUCUCAUUUUUAUACAAGCAGUUAAUAUUGUGUUGUUUUCUGAAGUGAUGAGUCAAAAUGAAGUGAGUUUUGCAUUAAAAUGAGCUAAAUAGUCUUCCAUUAGGGUAAGCAAAAUAGUCUUAUGUCAAAAAGAAAACUAGAUUCUUUUACUCACCCCAUUGGCAGAUUAUUUUGCUUGUUUUAAGGAAAAACUCACUUAAUUUUGACUCAUUAUUUAUGAAAACAACACAAUAUGUUCUGCUUGUCUAGUAAAUACUUCUUGAUUGAAAGAGUUUUAGGUAUUUGGACUGGAAUCAAGCUUUAUUUGCAGUGUUUAUAAUAACACAAUCGCUUAAAGGCAUUUAGGCUGGAAAUUGAUAUGACUGAAUAAUUAUAUUGUCGAGAAUGCAUUAUUUAUUUUCACUAUCGCUUUAUUUUUGACUGUCAUUUUGACACAUUUUGCUGACUACAAGUUAUAGUGCCAGCUAUUUCUUGUUGGAAUAUUAGCAGAUAGUUUGCUUAUUGUUUGCUGAUAUUUCUUAUCUAACACACAUCCUGCUUAUUAUAAGAAACAUUGCAAGUACAUGUCAAUGUAUAGUAAUCCCAACGCUUCAAUGCAAAAAAAAAAGACUUUGUUUUUGUCUCGUUUGAAUCUAAAAAGUCUUAAAUCAAGAAGCAUUUUCUAGAUGAGCUAAAAAUAUUGUGUUGUUUUUAGAAAUAUUAAGCCAAAAUGAAGUAAGUUUUGCAGUAAAACAAGCAAAAUAAUCUGCCAUUAGGUUAAACAAAACAAGCAUUUUGAAAUAAGACUAUUUUAAGGAAAAACUUGCUUAAUUUUGACUCCUUAUUUCUGCAAACAUGACAAUAUUUUCUGCUUGUCUGGAAAAUGCUUCUUGAUUUAAAGAGUUUUACAUAUUUGGACCGGAAUCAAGCCUUAUUUUGCAGUGUUUAUAAUAACACAAUCGCUUAAAGGCAUUUAGGCUGGAAAUUGAUAUGACUGAAUAAUUAUAUAGUCGAGAAUGCAUUAAUUAUUUUGCCUAUCGCUUUAUUUUUGACUGUCAUUUUUAAGCAUUUUGCUGACUACAAGUUAUAGUGCCAGCUAUUUCUUGUUGGAAUAUUAGCAGAUAGUUUGCUUAUUGUUUGCUGAUAUUUCUCCUCUAACACACAUCUUGCUUAUUAUAAGAAACAUUGCAAGUACAUGUCAAUGUAUAGUAAUCCCAACGCUUCAAUGCAAAAAAAGACUUUGUUUUUGUCUCUUUUGAAUCUAAAAAGUCUUAAAUCAAGAAGCUUUUUCUAGACGAGCUAAAAAUACUGUUGAUUUCAGAAAUAAGGAGCCAAAAUGAAGUAAGUUUUGCAUUUAAACAAGCAAAAUAAUCUGCCAUUAGGCUAAACAAAAUAAACUUAUUUCUGAAAACAUGACAUUAUUAUUUGCUUGUCUAGUAAAUGCUUCUUGAUUUAAAGAGUUUUAGAUAUUUGUACCAGAAUCAAGCUUUAUUUUGCAGUGUUUAUAAUAACACAAUCUCUUAAAGCCGAUUAGGCUGGUAAUUGAUAUGACUGAAUAAUUAUAUACUCGAGAAUGCAUUAUUUAUUUUGCCUAUAGCUUUAUUUUUGAUGCUCCUUUUACACAUUUUGCUGACUACAAGUUAUAAUGCCAGCUAUUUCUUGUUGGAAUAUUAGCAGAUUGUUUGCUUAGUAUCUGUUGAUAUUUCUCUAUUAACAUUCUCCUGAUACAAAACAUUUCAAGUACAUGUAAAUUAAUACUUAAUUCAUAAAAACAUGAUAUAUUGACUUAAAAAGCAGCAAGCGCUUACUAAAAUCAGGGUUUCUGUGCUAAUCUCAGGGCGAGACAUGUACAUGUGCAGAUGUGAGGAGCUUUGAGUUACAUUCUUCACUGUAAAACAGGCUUUGCUCAUCUAAAGUCUAGCACAAAUAUCUAAAAAACUCUUAAAUCAAGAAGCAUUUUCUAGAUGAGCUAAAAAUAUUGUGUUGUUUUCAGAAAUAAUGAGGAAAAAUGAAGUGAGUUUUGCAUCAAAACAAGCAAAAUAAUCUGCCAUUAGGCUAAACAAAACAGUCUUAUUUCUGAAAACAUGACAAUAUUCUUUGCUUGUCUAGUAAAUGCUUCUUGAUUUAAAGAGUUUUAGAUAUUUGGACCAGAAUCAAGCUUUAUUUUGCAGUGUUUAUAAUAACACAAUCUCUUAAAGCCGAUUAGGCUGGAAAUUGAUAUGACUGAAUAAUUAUAUACUCGAGAAUGCAUUAUCUAUUUUGCCUAUCGCUUUAUUUUUCACUGUCAUUUUUAAGCAUUUUGCUGACUACAAGUUAUAAUGCCAGCUAUUUCUUGUUGGAAUAUUAGCAGAUAGUUUGCAUAGUAUUUGUUCAGCAUCAAAUAUACAGAAUCAAUAAGAGCCCAAUUGUUCAAAUCUAUCAGCAAAAAACUAAAUUAGUUCACAUUUUCUUCCUCUCGGAAUCAAAUUUUUAAUUUUGUGCAUCAAAACUCAAAUAAAAAUAUAAUGAGACAAGCAAAAUAACAUUAUAGAUGAGAACACAUUGGGCCAUAAAUAACAACAAUAUUGAAAUGUAUAUAAAUACAAAUAUGCACAGCAUGUCAUAAAAAUUAUAGUAUAUAAGGAAGAAAGAUUGAAAGAAAAAACAUAUAAACAUACACAUUUUCUCUGUGAUUUCCAAUCAUAACUACCAUUAAGAGGUCAACCCAAGCAGCACUUUCUUUUUUUUUUUUGGAAAUGUGUUUUUAUUAAAGUUUUUUUUAAACAUAGUAUACAAAUAACAUUUACUUAGAAUGUUUACAGUCACAAAAAAGGAAACAAUUAGAAAGAAAAAGAAUAUAUAAGAUAUAAAUUAUUAUAAUAGAUCAAUUAUAAUGACAGCUAAAAGAAAAAAUUAAAACUAAAUAAAAUAAAAAAAUAAUAAUAAUAAAAAAGGAGGAGGGGGGGGGGUAAACAAAUAAAUAAAUAAGCAGCACUUUCUAAAAUAUUAAUAAACAUUAGUCAAGAUGAGUUUUUCCUUAAAUAAUCUGCCCAUGGGGUAAGCCAAUUAUUUUGCUUGUUUUAAGGAAAAACCCAUUUCAUUUUGGCAUAUUAUUUCUUAAAGCAAGACUAUGUUUUGCUUGUCUAAAAAAUGCUUCUUGGUUUAAGAAUUUCUAGAUGUUUUGGCUAGAAAUAAGGCAAAAACAGUAAGAGAAGCUAUUUUUGUAGUGUAAACGUACACUCUCAGAAAAACGCGAGGUGUUACUGGGGUGGUACCUUUUCAAAAGGUGCAAAUUUGUACCUAAAAGGUCUAUAAUAAUACCUCAAGGGUACAUAAUAAAGUACAAAAGUGUUCCUCUUAAUUUAUUAGGUACUAAUAAAUACUUUUAUGUUACCAAUAUGGACCCUUUAAGUACAAAUGUGUACCUUUAGAAAAGGGACCACCCCAGUGACAGCUCGCGUACCUUUAUUUUUGAGAGUCUACUUAUACUCUAAUUAGAAUAAGUUGCCAUGCAAAUGCAAUGUAAAGUAUAAUCAACACAAAUGUGUUAAAAUAAAUAUUAUGAUUCCUUAUACCUUAUGAUUUUGUUCCACAAUGUGAAAAAGUGCAGUACGUUAUCUAGUAUAUUGAAAACCACAGUGUUUUGCAGUCCAAAUCAAUCAUGCAAGACACUGUAAUCGUUCAUAUUCUUACAGAAACCUCAGGUAAUGUCGUAAUAUUUCACUACUAAUUGAAGAAGGCUGAACGAACAGAGUUAUUCAGCAGUUUUGUUUGGUACAAGACAUUUAUGUAGCUUUAUAUUCAUUAUUUUUUGGUGUAUUAAACAGACAGAGCAGGCCAUGUGUAUAGUUUAUUACUCUAUCACUCGCUUUUUGCAGUAGAAAUUGAGCUUUUGUGAUUGAAACGUUGACUGAUGAUCACUUUAGGUGUGUUUUGUGUUUGUGUCAUUGCUGCAUUCAUCUAAAACUACGAUUGUAUGCAAUCGACUUGUACAUUCAGCAUUCAUUUAAAACUACAAGAGCCUAGCAUGGAAAACUCUGUAUUUAUCAUGCAUUAUUUAUUGUUUCAGUGUGCAGUCGGCUGUAAUGUUUGUGUUAUUUAAUCAAAUGUUCGAUGAAUUGCAUCACAUUUAUUUAAUUGUUAAAUGUGUAAAUCAUUGUUAAAGAAGGCCACAGACUGUGAUAUUGCGAUCUCGAUCGUUUAAAAACAAUAGUUUUAUUCUCAUUUAUGACGCCAAAGGGUUUUAUUUAAGGUCUGUGCUGAUCAGAGUAAUAAUUUCUUGGUUUAUGGGUUUGUUGUGAUGACUUGAUUCGCACUGCAGAGUUUGACGCACUCAAUUGUUGUGUGAAUAUCAAAAAUCUCCAGAUGCAAUGUUUGUGGAUGGUGUUUAUUUUACAGCUCUGUAAUGCACUUCACCUGAAAACCAAAGUAGACGUGUCUCUCGUGUGUUUGCAAAGCAUUUGCUUUACACUAAAGGCUGUGAAUGACACCUUACUGUAUAUUGCUGGAUUACUGAAGUGCCUCUGUACAACCUGACACUCUGAGCCCCCUUUGUAAAUAAAUAUAUGCUUAUUAUGAAGACUGAGUUUUUUAUUUGUUUUUUCAACAAGAGUU
ensembl:lincRNA